rnacentral:rRNA from 1 species
CAGCAGCCGCGGUAAUACAGAGGGUGCAAGCGUUAAUCGGAAUUACUGGGCGUAAAGCGCGCGUAGGUGGUUUGUUAAGUUGGAUGUGAAAUCCCCGGGCUCAACCUGGGAACUGCAUCCAAAACUGGCAAGCUAGAGUAUGGUAGAGGGUGGUGGAAUUUCCUGUGUAGCGGUGAAAUGCGUAGAUAUAGGAAGGAACACCAGUGGCGAAGGCGACCACCUGGACUGAUACUGACACUGAGGUGCGAAAGCGUGGGGAGCAAACAGGAUUAGAUACCCCUGUAGUCCCUGUCUCUUAACA